CUGCUCUAUACUAUGAUCAGGUGUGGGGCCUGACUUCCUGCUCUAUACUAUGAUCAGGUAUGGGGCCUGACUUCCUGCUCUAUACUAUGAUCAGGUAUGGGGCCUGACUUCCUGCACUUCCUGAGGAUGAUGUCAUACUUUCACUUUCAGCUGCUUGUCUCCCCUCUGGCAGGACCAGUCCAAAUAUAACAUGAAGGAUCCAUUGGCCUAGUGUGAGACCAUGAAAACCGUGAGGUAUCAUGGGUAAAUUGUGACUGACUGAUGUACAAAUAAUAUUAAGUAGUUAUUUAUGAUGCAAGGUGGUUUGUAGAUCAGUCAAGUCUCGUCUUUAAAUUCGGCGGCCAUGUCUAACGGUCCCAUUUUGUUUUUCUGGGCGGGAACAUACAUAGACCAUGUUACAUACAUGAUAUAUACACAUAGACCAUGUAUGAUUUAGUUGUAUUACCAUAGUGAUGAGACUUUUCUCCUGUAACUUUCACAGGAGUGUUUAUUUAUGAAUCCUUUUGUAUCAAAGAAAUACAUUGGAACAACCAAAACAACUGAGCCGCCCCAAAUAUAAAAGGAACAUUGUUAAUAUGAUUUGUUGAUAUGUUUUCAUUAAUUACUAAAGCAAUACUCUUUUAUAAGGUCAUUGUUAUUAUAUUGACAUCACAAAUGCAGAAUGUGUGGAUUAAGACGUGUUUUCUAAUUCUUUCAUCAACACACAUACGCAUUACUUUUUGUAAAUAAAUGUAUGGAGCUGUUCUGUUUCUCUGUAUAGUUGUACAGAGUAAAUGUGAUACAGCCUGGGAUUGAACCCGGGUCUGUAGUGACGUCUCUAGCACUGAGAGGCAGUACCAUAGAACGCUAUGUCACCCAGGAGGCUAUAGUGGACUACUCCUGACCGUGAUCCAUAGUCCACUGUUAGGAUAGAAGAUAGAAGAGCUGUGUCACAUGUCAAGGUGUCUGUAUUCUUCUGACUGGGUUUUGAAACUGUCACAAUAUCACCCCCCCAAAAAAAUGGAACUUUUGUAUAUUGUGAAUGAACUGGCUUUAGGGAGAAGGGUUCCGACAUCAUUCCACAACAGAAUGGUUCUAAUUUAGAAUGAUUCCUUUACAUUCCUUCCUAAAGAGCACGUAAAACAAACACAGCACUUGAUGACAGUUUACAGUUGACUAGCUUUAGGCUUUAGGUUGAGGAUGAUUCAACAAAUGUCUUGUUUUACCAGACUGUUAAAAGUAAGUAGAAAACCCCUGCCUGUUUACUGCCAAGGAAAAGUACUGUGAUAUUAUAUAUGAACGUCAUUUCACUCAUCAUUACAACCAGACGUAUAGCUCUCUAUUCAUCCUGGAUGGCUGAAACGUUACAGACUGUGCGGUAGAAAUGUAAAGGUAAUUUCAGAUGGAGACGACAUCUGCAGUGUUUACGGUAAAUGCAGUCUCCGCUAUAACGCGGGAACAUUGCCCUUAAAUUUAAAUCAAGCCGUACCGUUGUACUUCAGUGAUACGGAUUGCAUAGAGCGCUUCAAUAAUGACUUUGUCUGAUAAAUAUUUGAAUACUAAUCAUAAAAUACCCACUAGUUUCUAAAUGAUACGGUGGUGUUUCACAGCUUUACAGUUGGAAUUAAAGUUGAGACCCAGCAGGCAUAAUUUGGCGUGGGUACGUCAGAAAAGGAGAUCAGUUUAAAAUAUUUUCUAUCAAUUUUUCUAUCUACUAUUUACCCUUUUGGAAGAAAUAUGAAUUGAUUUUGUUUUAAAUCUCUCCUUGUUAUGCUUGAUGUCACAGUAUGAGUGAAAGCUUUGUGUAUAAAAGGUGUACUUUGGUAUGUGGCCAUUACAUAACUCUGUACCAGGGGUCUCCAACCCUGUAGGUUUACACUCCAACCCUGUUCCUGGAGAGAUAUUGUCCUGUAGGUUUUAACUCCACCUCCAGGACAGUAUCUCUCCAGGAACAGGGUUGGAGGGCCCUGUAUGUAACUACUAUACACAUUGACCAUGAUAUCACCAUAUCAUCACUAUAGAUAUCAAUAUGUUGUUGUUUACACCGUUGAAGCACUGUUAUGUCUUUUGAAUAUAUAAUAUGUAUCAUUUUUACCACAGUUUAAUACUAAUUUGUAAGAUUUUGUUUUCAUGGAAUCUGCCUGACUGGAUCUACAGAUUGUUUUAAAUUCUGAAUAAAC
ensembl:lncRNA